rnacentral:rRNA from 1 species
UACGGAAGGGGCAAGCGUUGUUCGGAAUCAUUGGGCGUAAAGGGCGCGUAGGUGGUUCUGUAUGUCUACCGUGAAAGCGUACGGCUCAACCGUAUUUUGUCGGUGGAAACUGCAGGACUUGAGGCUGGGAGGGGCUGGUGGAAUUCCCUGUGUAGCGGUGAAAUGCGUAGAGAUGGGGAAGAACACCCGUGGCGAAGGCGGCUCUCUGGGACGGUACUGACGCUGAGACGCGAAAGCGUGGGGAGCGAACAGG